AUGCAGGCAAACAGAAUACUCCA
rnacentral:piRNA from 1 species